CUUUGCACUCCCUGCUCUGCUCCCCCGGUAGCUCUGCCGCCACACCCUUGGUUUGCCUUUUCAUACAAAGUCGAGAAUUUGUUUUUGUGUCUGCAGUGAAACUUGGAAUUCUGACUGGGCCGGCCUUCCAGGCCAUGAAUGUGGUUCAUCUUUCCAGAUCCCUCGUGGACAGGUGAAUACACAGAAACCCCACGGAUUUGUGUGAUCUUGCGCCUUUUCUAAAUGCCUCCAUCGGCUCUAGACCCUCUGGGAUCCUUCCUCUGUACAGGAUCGUAUCCUCCACAAAAAGAAAUCAUUUUACUUAGCUGGAAAACUUGUUCUUUUUUUGCUUGCUCCACGAAAUCUGAGAACGGGCGAAGGGGAGUCCAUCUCAGCCCCGGCUUCAAGGGGCAAGCUCCGAGGCCCGCAGCACACUGCCGGCUGUCUGCGCUCACACGCCUUUGCUCAUGUUGGAGAACUUCCAUUCUAGUCCAAUCUUCUUUAGGGUUUUACUCAAGAAAGGGUCUGAAGUUACCAAAGGCCUUUUCUGCAUCCAGAGUGACCCCUUUGUUCUGCUAGAUUGUCCAUUGGUUUUCUGUCAGACCAUCCCUGCAUUCCUAGAAUAAAUCCCACUUGGUCCUGGUGUGGUUUUUUUGACCAAA